GUGUUUGAAAUAAAAGUGCAUUUAUACAUGGAAGAGGAAAGCGAUUCACUUAUUCCGUUUUCCAAGAAAUAAAACCAGACGACCAGACCAGACUGGGUCUUGAAAACAAUUUACACUUCUCUUGUAAUUUACACUCCAGACUUCAGUAUAAUGAGAGAAAUCGACUCUUACUGUUAAUUUGAAAAAGAUGCCAUCCCGAGUGAGCCAAUACUGUGCCUGUCAUCAGUACUGGAGUUUUUGAAGAAAAUGGAAGGAAAAUGGGAUCAAAAUCAUCAAACAUGAAUGCCAGUUCAGGAUUUGCAGAAAUGAAAGUGUCUUGUAGUUCAAGAAUAAAACAAGAAUAAACACGCGGAGAACAGAAAUAGAAAAACAGCUAAUUGAAGUCGAAACCGAUUUAAGACGACGAGUGUGUCGUCAGUACUUCAAGAAAUAAUUUGCUACCCUACAGGAUGUUGUCUAUUCAUUGGGAGGAAAAAUUGAAGAUGAAAGCUUGAAAAGCCGAGGCAAAUACCUUAUGAAAAAUUUCGUUGAAGACAGCUGCAUGCAUAAAAAACAUAAAUAUGGCAAUGACGUCAAACAAAUUGCUUUAAAGUAACAUUAUUAUUCAGUUAAAGUUUACAGUUUCGUUAAAAUUGCUCUUAAUUAUGAUGCACUUCAACAACCAAAAGCACUUUUGAGGUGGUAUGAAAAUUUGAAGGGGGAAGCAGGUUGUUGAAGUAUUUGAGUUGCUGAAAAUGAAAGUUUAAAACACUGCUUAUUAGUUGAUAUGC